rnacentral:rRNA from 1 species
CAGCAGUAGCCGCGGUAAUACAGAGGGUGCGAGCGUUAAUCGGAUUUACUGGGCGUAAAGCGUGCGUAGGCGGCUUCUUAAGUCGGAUGUGAAAUCCCUGAGCUUAACUUAGGAAUUGCAUUCGAUACUGGGAAGCUAGAGUAUGGGAGAGGAUGGUAGAAUUCCAGGUGUAGCGGUGAAAUGCGUAGAGAUCUGGAGGAAUACCGAUGGCGAAGGCAGCCAUCUGGCCUAAUACUGACGCUGAGGUACGAAAGCAUGGGGAGCAAACAGGAUUAGAUACCCGUGUAGUCCCUGUCUCUUAUAC